rnacentral:rRNA from 1 species
UACGUAGGGUGCGAGCGUUAAUCGGAUUUGCUGGGCGUAAAGCGUGCGCAGGCGGCCCGUUAAGACAGGUGUGAAAUCCCUGGGCUCAACCUAGGAAUUGCGCUUGUGACUGGCGGGCUCGAGUACGGUAGAGGGGGGUGGAAUUCCUGGUGUAGCAGUGAAAUGCGUAGAGAUCAGGAGGAACACCGAUGGCGAAGGCAGCCCCCUGGGCCUGUACUGACGCUCAUGCACGAAAGCGUGGGGAGCAAACAGG